GGACGAAAGAUACCAAAGGGACAGUCAAACUCAUAAAUCUAAAACAAACUGACAACGCCAUGGCUAAAAAUGAAAAAGAAAAACAGAAAACAAUAGUACACAUGACACAACAUAGAAAACUAAAGAAUAAACAACACGAACCCCACCAAAAACUAGGGGCGAUCUCAGGUGCUCCGGAAGGGUAAGCAGAUCCUGCUCCACAUG
rnacentral:lncRNA from 1 species